rnacentral:rRNA from 1 species
CAGCAGCCGCGGGAAUACGGAGGGUGCAAGCGUUAAUCGGAAUUACUGGGCGUAAAGUGUGCGUAGGCGGUUCGUUAAGUCUGUUGUGAAAGCCCCGGGCUCAACCUGGGAAUGGCAAUGGAUACUGGCGAGCUAGAGUGUGUCAGAGGAUGGUGGAAUUCCCGGUGUAGCGGUGAAAUGCGUAGAUAUCGGAAGGAACACCUGUGGCGAAAGCGGCUCACUGGACCAUUUCUGACGCUGAUGCACGAAAGCUAGGGGAGCAAACAGGAUUAGAUACCCCGGUAGUCCCUGUCUCUUAUAU